rnacentral:misc_RNA from 1 species
CUAAAUUUUAAUUAUGUCAUAUACUUUUGUUCUUUUAUUUAUUUUUGUCAAUUUUUUGUCAUUAACAAUAAGUACUUUCAUCCCUGGGUCUAUAUUUUUCAAUUUUUGCCAUUAAUGAUAUCUUGAUUAAUAGUUAAAUUAAUAAAAAAAGUCACAGAUACCAAAUAGUUAAUGGAAUUAAAAUAUGAUAUACUAAAUCAUCUAUUUUUAAAAAAUACAAAGAUUAAAUCAUUAAUUUUAAUAAAAUCACAGGACUGAAUAGUUAUUAAUAUAAUAGCUUUGCCAUUUGGAAUGGUAUCAGGGAGCAGCAACAACAUGCUUUGUGGCAGUUCAUCCAAGUUUGAAAGGAGUCAGUGGAAAAUACUUUGCGGACUGCAAUGAGAUAAAGCCAAGCACAUUUGCUAGGGAUGAAUUACUAGCAAAAAGACUCUGGGAUUUCAGUAACGAUCUCAUUAGUUCUGCUUCAAAGCCUUAAUAUAUAUAUAUAUAUUAAUU